GGUGAGAUAACCGAGCGGUCUAAGGCGCUACGUUCGGGUCCUCCUUAAUUUCAUCCUCUCUAUCAUCGUAGAGAGAGAUUCUGUAGUCUGAAAGGGAGUGGGUUCGAAUCCCACUCUCAUCA